UCGCAAGGCUCGACAAAAUGGGCCCCUUGAUAAGAAAUUAUCAAGUGCGUACUCGCCAAAUUCGGAGAACUCCUCUCUUUUAAAAGAAGGACAAUUCCGAGCUAAAUUCUCCGAUAAAAGUGGAGAUAAACGUGUAGAGACUAGAUGGCGAGCUCCUUAAUCUUUAGUUUAUUUUUAGAAAGGAGAUGGUAUAGUCCAGACCACAAA
rnacentral:ncRNA from 1 species